rnacentral:rRNA from 1 species
CCUGAACGCUGGCGGCGUGGCUAAGACAUGCAAGUCGCACGGGGUAGCAAUACCCAGUGGCGAACGGGAGAGUAAUGAAUCGCUAACGUACCCCGGACUCUGGGAUAGCUAUCCGAAAGGGUAGGUAAUACCAGAUGACAUACCUGCUCCGCAUGGAGUGGGUCUCAAAGGUCCGCCGGUCUGGGAGCGGGCGAUUUCGUAUCAGCUAGUUGGUGAGGUAACGGCUCACCAAGGCGACGACGCGUAGCCGGACUGAGAGGUUGGCCGGCCACAUUGGGACUGAGACACUGCCCAGACUCCUACGGGAGGCUAGCAGUGGGGAAUCUUGCGCAAUGGGCGAAAGCCUGACGCAGCGACGCCGCG